CCCACAGCACUUGCUGGGGGAAAUCAGCAAAGUGGCUAUUAAACCAAAAGGAAAAGCAGAAACGCACACAUGGGGAAGUCGAGAGAGGUCUCACAAAGGAAGAAAACCAACUGAAGAAAGCCCCCCCGGGCACCCAGGGAGUCAGCCAGCAGCUCUCACGCUCUGGAGGCCGGUCCCCCCCACCCCCACCCACCGUCAGCUUUGUCAGAGCCCUUUCCACCUUCCUCAGAGGCCCUGUGAGAAGACGAAGGGGUGACGGCAAGAGGGCAGCCCGGCAGCCAGCUGCCUGGGAGAGCGUCUGGGCGUCCAGAGCCAGGGUGCUGAGCAGGAAGUGCCGUGGCCCCUCCAGGCCACCCUCUAGGAAGGGGACGCAGCCCGCUGUUCCCCAGAACUGCUCUGAGCACCGCUGACUCUCCAUUUUGUGCCACAGCUUGCUCCAGACAGUCAUCUUUUAACACAGACACAGAGAAGACACAGAAGAGAUGGCCACAUGAAGACAGAGUUGGGAGGGAUGCAGCGACAAGCCAAGAACUGCAAGGAGUGCCAGCAACCACCAGAAUCUGGAAGCAGCAGGGAAGGAUUCUCCCCUAGAGACUUCGGAGAGAGUGUGGCCCUGUCAACACCUUGAUUUUGGAUUUCCGGCCUCCAGAACUGGGAAAGAAGUGUAUCAAGUGCCAUCAAGGUGGCAGCUGGGCAUUAAGGCCAGAGGGCCCCGAAGAGAGGCUGGACUUGUGCUGUCUUGAUGCAUCCAGUAUGAGGACUUGAGCUGCAGGCAGCCCCCCCACCGUGCACGUGGAGGCCAGGGGCACGGCUGAUCUCCACCCAGCAGAUGUGGAUGUUCAAGCCCCAGGAGGCCAAGCUACCCGCCUGAGAUGACAGCAUGUGACAGUGCCUGAGUCAGAACCAAGGCAUCAGACUUCAGAAGCUGAGCCCUUAUCUAGGCCAAGUUCAGCCAGAGAAAGAAUAAAUAAGGGGCUCUGACCACUGUGGGGUGGGGCUGCCCAUCCAUGGUGCCCACUGAGGGCCACACGGGUGCCAGAUAGCCUACUGAGGGUUAGAGCCACCAUGGCCCAGGACCUGACAGCCAUCGCUGGGUGGGACUAAAGCCCGCAGCAGUGUGAUGGUCACACAGGACCAGCCCCAGGUACCAGAUGGCAGUUAAGAAAAGUGUGCCACAACCUGGUUCUGCCCUCUUUGCCUGAGGGAGCUCCUGCUACCAGCUCCUGGUGGAGGAACUCAAUUUCUGGAGACCAGAUGCACAAUGCAAGACCCAUUCAAUCCAUCCACUACCCACCCACCCAUCCAAUCAACAUUGUGCUGAAUACCUACUGCGGCCAGGCAUUUCCACAUUCGUUAACUCACUGAAUAAUCACAAGACACUGUUUGGUAGCAGGUAUUAGCCCCAUUUUCCAGAUAUGAAAGCUGAAGUACAGAGAUAAAGGGCUUUGCUUGGGGCCCAUGGCCAGCUUGUGAAGGAACAAGACUUGGCCUGGGGAUGGGUGGGUCUCUUGGGUGUGUCUGCCCUCCUGGGACACCAAUGCAAUGAAGCCCUCCCAGGUUGGGGUUUCUCCAGGGUGGAGGAUCCCUCCUUACACUGAGGCCACAGGCCCCCAAGGCUUUUCAGGUGACACUUGCUGGAUCUUUUGCCUCUAAGGACCUGACCCAGACCCCUCUUGCCUCCUCAGGGAGUCCUCUUUUCCCUUGGGACUCUGUGAUAACCUCCACACACCUGUGUCUCCUCGGAAUUCUCCCUGGGUCAGGCUCCAGGACACUUGCUGUCCACUUUUCUGUCCCUUGACAGAUGACAGUCCCAUCUGGGACACGGUGAUUCAGAGAAGACCCAAAGCAAGAAGAACUGCAAGGCAAGUGACUGACAGGUCUCCUCCCCUCCCUGGGCCUCAUUUCCCAAUUGGUGAGGGGCUGGAUGAGGUCAUUUCAGGGACGCUCUCGCUUCCACAAGACGCUAAGAAUGCCCUGACCAGUGCUUUCAUACUCUCCUUUCGGCCGGGUAGAGGGAGGACAGCACACUGUCGUCCCGUUCCCAGGGGCACAGCAGCCUCUAGCCUGCCCUCUGGGGGAAGCUGUGCACUGUUCAGUCAGAUCUGGAACCACAGCAGGAGACCCGGGUUUGGGGAGGGGGGAGGGUCUGGUAACACUGUCCUGGGGGCUUUCACGGAGUUACAUGGAAAAUUCCCAUUGAAAUCCAAGGGCCGAUGUUUGAAUUCCUAAAUGAGGGUUCCUGGCCCUUUACAUGCUUCUUCAGCCACCGACCAGCAGAAAUAUCCAGACAGGUGCAGCCCACACCUGGGCCAAGCGUCUCAGGAUAUCUCAACAGGCCUCAUUCGGCCAGGCCGGGGUCAGGGAGGGAGGGCAUAGGUGUAGGAGGCAGAAGGCCCAGGUUGGGGUGGGGGGCUUGCAUAGGCCACUUGGCUUCUCCACGUUUCGGUGUCCUCAUCUGUAGGAUGGUGAUGGUGGCACCACCCAGCAGGGCUGCAGAGCCACUGUGUACCCAGAAGCACAGCACUGCGCCCACAGCACAGUCCCAUCCUGCUCCUGCUACUCCUUCAUCAGGGGCCUCAGGUCCGCUUCAUCACCUCCACUUCCCUGGUCCUCAGUCUCCCCAUCUGUAAAUGGGAUCCAGCUCAGACAUCAGCAGGGCUACGAAGAGGCCUGUCUGAGCGUGGAGCGCCCGGCACAACCGUCCCCUGGAGGGGCUGCCUGCCAAGUACCAGCUGCCAAAGGAGCUCUGGGUCACCCUGCCUGCUUCCUGGGUCAGCCUCCCAUGGUGGGGGACACACCCCGAAGGGAGAAUUCAGAGCUUCUGUGGAUGGCAGACAAGUUGAGCAAAAGGUAUCCUCCCAGCCCAGACCCGGAGGGACCAGCCCAAGCCAGGCCUUCAAAGAGAGGCAGCUGUCCCGGGUUUGAGGUGAUGCCAAGAAGUGUAACCCAAGGCAGGCAGCUCCUGACAAACUCAGCUCACACGUGCCCCGGCUCCCUGCAGGCAGCACCCUCCUGGGGCAGGUGCCGGUUCUUCCUGCAUCUUCCACAGGAGGCUGGAGCCCAGGAAAAGCUCAGAGGGACUGAAUUAUCCAUACCCUCGGAACCGAUCAGAAGCUGCUCUGAGGUGGCAGUCACAUUCGGACGACAGGUGGCUGCAGGGGCACCCCUUUCCUCGUGGGCUCCCUGAGUCACGGCUAGAAAUAGGUUCCACUAAGGCACGGUCCAGCUUUCUUCUCUUCCAGGUCCUGCUAGUGCAAGGUCAACCACGGAGAGGCUGUGGGGAGUUCUGAAGACCCCAGUCCCACCUCUCCUCCCCAGGCCCCUGCAGAGGACAGGCCUCGGUUAAAGACCACACCUGGAAGGCUCCCACUGGUGUGGCUGCACAGCAAGAGGGAACUGGGGGCUUAUCCGCAUCCUGUCGGGCACGCCACUCCGUGACACUUCAUGCUAGCUGACGGCCGUGACAGAAUGAAUGGAUGGGUGACGCCAUCAGUGAAUGAAUGAGGUUUAAGAAGUUUGCUAUCAGGAACCCCGAUCACUGCCUGGAUAGUCACGGAGCCAGCACAAAGCAGAAGAAAACAUGGCUCCCGCUCUCAAAAAGUGAGUUCUCUGUCACCAGAUGUCUGGCAGAGUGAAGGCAGGGCUGCAGGACUCACGUUCUCUAAAGCAGUGGCUCCCAGAGUGCUCUGUGGGACACCAAGAGACACCACAGAGGAAAAAGUCCCAGGGACCAACAAGAAUGUGAAAUGCUACAUGGUGUUUCCCACUCAUGCCCACAGAGUCCUGCUUAACACCGGUACUGCCCAGCUGUCUGGCCACAGAACUCCUCUGAAGGGAGCACGGAGUUCUGAAGAACAUGGGUCGGGAAGUGCUGGUGUCAUGGAUUUAGAAUAGGCUGUGCCAGGAAAGUCACACUGCAAUGGCCUCCCUGGGUCACGCGGGGUCCUGGAGAUGGCAGAGCCUCCCUGGGCAGGACACACUCAGCAGGGCCCUGCCACCCUCCCUGGGGUUGACUCUAGUGCUCUGCUUCCUUGUGCCUCAGUUUCUCCUCUGAAGACGUAACGACCCCAGCUUCUCCCAGCCUGUCAGGGUUGUCAGGGGUGAGGACACAGGAUGACAGUGAACAGAUACCAGGGGCCAUGGGGAGAUGUACAGACAAGAGGCCUUCGCUGUGACUCAGGUUUGGUGGGCAUUCACGGGGCUAACAGCCGGAGACUGCUAACGAGGGUGCAGAUGACAGCCUUCCGGAACCACAUGCCCCGGCUCCAUGUAACCAUUCUUGGAAAGAGACGGCUCGGCUUCCUGUAAAUUGCCGAGCACAGCCGCGUUCUGGGGGGCACAGGUGACCCAACAGAGACGCACAAUACCAGGCAUGCUCGGAAGCCCAGGGAGAGUUGCUGGCCCAGGGUGGGAGGCAGAUCUCCCAGCGUCUCCUCCAAGUACUUAGAGAGUCCUUGGAAGGAACGGGGAGGACAGGGCGUGGGCGGUAUGCUGGAUUCCGAUCCUGGCUCUGUCCCUGGGGAGCUGUGGCCUUGGGCCAGUCACCUUUCCCACACUCUAUUCUCUAAAAUGGAGAUAAGAGCACCUAUGUCGGGGGCUGGAGGACUGACUGAGGCAGCGUGCAAAGUCCAGCACACUGAUGCCUGGCACACACUCUGGAAGGAGGAGCCCCCCAUGGAACAGACUAAGCCUCGCUCUUUCUUCGGAGACCUGCUGAUGGGACCCUGCCGGGUCCGGCCACUGUCCAGCACAUCUGUGCUCCCUCCCUCUGGGAGAGCUGCGAGCUACCAAGAGUCCGUUUGACUUGUUCCCAAACCUAUUUAUGCCAGCUACACUUGCUCUUGCGACUACCUAAUUUGAUUAUUCUUCACAUAAACUUUUUAAGUAUGAGUGUGAAAAGGAAAAGAAAAAGACUUGCAUUCAUGAAGUCCUUUCUGGAACUUGCUGAGCUGCCCUGGGCUGCUGACCACCCCCACCCCCUGCCCCAAUCCCUGCCACUGCCCCCUGGCCGGCACCCAUUCAUAGGCUCCUGCCUCUGAUGAGCCAAGACUGCCUUCCUUGGAGGCCAAAGCUGGUGAGAUGCUCCCACACUGAGAUGGGUCCCUGGCUCUGUCCAGGUACUCUCAGAGCAGGCAGAGCACCGCUGGGGGCAGGUGGUACCUGAAC